rnacentral:rRNA from 1 species
CUCCACUGAAUUGCGCAAUCAGUGGUAGCUCCUGCUCCAUGAUCAAUAAAUAGCCGCAGUAUCUUGACUGUGCUAAGGUAGCAAAAGUAAUUAGCUUCUUAACUGGAAGCUGGAAUGAACGGGGGGACGGCACUGCCUCUUUCAAAACUAUAACUAAUAGAACUUGAUAUCUGCUUUAAAAAGAGCAGCUUCUUAAAAAGACGAAAAGACCCUAUAAAACUUAAUUUAAAGAAAUUGUUAAAAUUUAGAAACAUAACGAUUUUCUGAAUUAAGUUGGGGCGACAUCUAACUGUCUUUAGUAAAAGUAACACUUAUCCGUGAAAUUAAAGAUCUGGUUUUCUCAGACAUAGAACAAGUUACUUUAGGGAUAACAGCACAAUUUUCUCAUAUAGUCCUUAUAGAAGAGAAAGCUUGUGACCUCGAUGUUGAAUUGAGGGGCCUUGUUUAAGCACAAAUAAAUUUAGGAAGUCUGUUCGACUUUUAAUUCCUC